CUCAUGCAAAGACCGGUCCCCGUACGUGAAAUCUGUCAGUGCAGAGCAGUGCAAUAGAGGCAUUGUUGAGGGGGUUUUUGUAAUAACUGAGAUUUUUGAUUUAUUGAGUAAACCCUUUUGUUUGACGAUGUUCUUGUGUGUAAUAUAAUUAUAAGUGUACUCGUCAAAUUUCAGGAGAAAACGAGUUAAAACGGAGAAGUUACGCGACCCGGAAGUCUGACUUAAGUGAAUAGUAACUCCGAUUUUUCGGAGAGGCCGCGGAGUAAAGUGGACUUUCGACGCGUAUCGGACUCCGAAUAUAGCCUUCCAAUAGCUCGUUUUCAACCGCUCGACUAUCCUGGACCCAAAGGCACUGACGGAAUUGGAUUUGGAUGCACGGAUUUCGAGAAAAAGGGGUUUAAUGGUUUUUGCAUAUAGUUGUCUAUGUGUGGUUUUUGGUGGAACCUUGGAGGGAUGGUUUUGUCGCAAAUCGGAAAUCUUUUCGGGCGAAACGAGGUGCUAGAUUCGAUGCCUCCGUCGUGCUGAUCGCGCUGGUGCGAUCCGAUCGGAAAUCCGACGGACGGAUCUUCGGGAAUCGCGAAAAGUCCGCGAAGGGGCUGAUUUGAGUAAUCGGAUUAUUCGCGAAAAGACCCUAUAUUUUAUGCGUCGAAUUGCGAGUUUUCGAACUUAGAGGGACUAUCGUG
rnacentral:lncRNA from 1 species